rnacentral:rRNA from 1 species
GACGAACCGUGCGAACGUUAUUCGGAAUCACUGGGCUUAAAGGGCGCGUAGGCGGGUCGGUAAGUCAGGGGUGAAAUCCCACGGCCCAACCGUGGAAGUGCCUCUGAUACUGCCGGCCUCGAGGGGGAUAGGGGCGUGCGGAACUCAGGGUGGAGCGGUGAAAUGCGUUGAGAUCGGAUGGAACGCCCGUGGCGAAAGCGGCAUACUGGACCACCACUGACGCUGAUGCGCGAAAGCCAGGGGAGCAAACGGG